rnacentral:rRNA from 1 species
GACGAACGCUGGCGGCGUGCUUAACACAUGCAAGUCGAACGGAAAGGCCCUGCUUUUGUGGGGUGCUCGAGUGGCGAACGGGUGAGUAACACGUGAGUAACCUGCCCUUGACUUUGGGAUAACUUCAGGAAACUGGGGCUAAUACCGGAUAGGAGCUCCUGCUGCAUGGUGGGGGUUGGAAAGUUUCGGCGGUUGGGGAUGGACUCGCGGCUUAUCAGCUUGUUGGUGGGGUAGUGGCUUACCAAGGCUUUGACGGGUAGCCGGCCGGGGGGGGUGGCCGGCCCACAGGGGGAUUGAGUUAGGCCCGAGCCUCCUAGGGGGGGAAGCAGGGGGAAAUUUGGAACAAGGGGGGGGAGCCGGAUGCAGAAACGCCGCGGGGGGAAGACCGGCUUGGGGUUGUUAACCCGUUUUCGCCGGUGAGGAGGGGGGAGGAGGGGAAAGGGAUAAAAAAACCCCGGCUACUUCCGGC